UACGUAGGGUGCAAGCGUUGUCCGGAAUUAUUGGGCGUAAAGAGCUCGUAGGCGGUUUGUCGCGUCUGCUGUGAAAACUCGGGGCUUAACCCCGGGCCUGCAGUGGGUACGGGCAGACUAGAGUGCGGUAGGGGAGACUGGAAUUCCUAGUGUAGCGGUGAAAUGCGCAGAUAUUGGGAGGAACACCGGUGGCGAAGGCGCCGCUCUGGGCCGAAACUGACGCUGAGGAGCGAAAGCAUGGGUAGCAAACAGG
rnacentral:rRNA from 1 species